UCGGUUCCGGUGUCUUCCACUGGUCUCGCAUUCUGUGUGCAAUCCAGUCGUUGAUGAGAUCAGUGUUUGAUACGCGCUCCGAAAAACUGAUGCGCAUAAAAGAUUUGUUAAGGAUUCAAAUCGUGUUGUAUAGCACCACCUGCAGGUUGCAACGACCCGUAGACCACUUGGAUACACUUCCGAACAUUGCGCUGAAGUCCAUUCACUUUAGCGUUACAAGAACACACUCGAAGGUCUGUUCCACCACACAGUGAUGUUCAGUGAAGCCGGGCACAAGAAAAUACAGGAGUAAUUCCUAAAAUCCUGCAAACAACGGGGCCUCUGAAAGUGAAUGAAGUUGAGUCUUCAGUGUCAGAAACAUCAGAAGCUUUUAAUGCUAGAAAUGUCUUCUAGUAGUGUGCAGAAGAACAAUAUUUUCUCUCCAAAAGCAAACCGCAGUACCAAAGGAGGCAAGUCUUUCACCUGCCCUCAUUGUGGAAAGUGUUUCAAACACAUAGGUCAUUUUGAGGACCACAUGAAAGUUCACACUGGAGAGCGCCCAUUCACAUGUUCUCAGUGUGGAAAGGGUUUUAAACGCAGAUGUCAUUUUGUGGAGCACAUGAAAGUUCACACCGGAUCACGGCCAUUCACAUGUACUCAGUGUGGAAAUUGUUUCAAACGCAAAAGUCAUUUUGAGGAACACAUGAAAAUUCACACUGGAGAGCGCCCAUUCACGUGUUCUCAGUGUGGAAAGGGUUUCAAACGCAGAUGUCAUUUUAAGGACCACAUGAGAAUUCACACUGGAGAGCACCCAUACAGGUGUCCUCAGUGUGAAAAGAGUUUUAAACACAAAAAUCAUCUUGAGGACCACAUAAGAAUUCAUACUGGAGAGCGCCCGUUCACAUGUCCUCAGUGUGAAAAGAGUUUCAAACAGAAAAAUCAUCUUGAUGACCACAUAAGAAUUCACACUGGAGAGCGCCCGUUCACAUGUCCUCAGUGUGAAAAGAGUUUCACACAGAAAAAUCAUCUUAAGAAUCAUAUGAGAAUUCACACUGGAGAACCAACACAGUCUCACCAGAGUUUAUGAAGUCGUGCUGAGGGACAUGAUUUCCCCCCUUUCUUUCUCAAUGUACACAAAUCAUUAAAUGCUAAAUUUCGUGCCUAUGCCAUGAACUGCCUCAGACUUUCAAACAGAUAUUAAAUCUUGAGGGGACAUACGUAAAAUCACACAGAAUUUUCAGAAAACAAGUCUUGAGAUGCACCUGUGUACACACACUGGAGAGCGUCCAUGAACAUGUGUUCAUUUGAAUUUGAUGGUGAAGAUGGUGACAUUAUUUCUUCACUGUUCCUUGUUUAGCUAAUGUAUAUUUGUGAGGGUCCUCAGUAACAUGGUGAACAGCCAUUACAACCCACUUGUUGUUGACAUUUUACUGUUCCUCACAUAACAUAUUCUGCUUGUAAAAAUGCUAUUACAGAUAUCAAGAAAUUUUUUAAUUUUCAUAAAAAUCAUAUUCAUGUGGGAAAUAGAAAUGAGUGGCGGCAAGGACAAGGAAACUGUAUUCCUUCAACAUACUAUGAUUUAGGAAAUACCCCUUAUAAUUUCCAAUAAUGUGUAAGACAGGUAGAAUGCAAGUGGUUAUGCAGGAUCAGAGUUUAUAGGAUGAACUUAAGUCAGCUGUUCUUUAACUGAAAACUCAGACUAUGCGGCCCAAUUUGCAUAUUAUGUGUCCUAAUUAGAAUUUUAACUUUAUUGACACCUUUUUUUAAGAAGCUAAUAAGUUAAAAGUUGUAUUUAUUUAUUUUGCAGACCUGUUCCACCAUACCACACAGUGACGUUCAGUGAAGCCAUUAACAAGUAACCGAACACUUCAUUCAAAAGUACCAGUAGAGCAAAUCCAGUGUGACAGUUUAAAAAAAAAACUUAAAUGAAAGUUGGAGACAUGAUUGAGCCAACCCCCUGCAGAAUGCAACAUGAAGAUAUUGACAAACAAAUAGAUAUGUUAAAUGAAGAAAGUGAUGAAAUGAAUGAAGAGGAGAAACAACAGGGUCAGACACCUCAGAAAUUAAUAGCUUUCACCUGCCCUCAGUGUGAAAAGUGUUUCAAACGUGGAAAUAGUUUUAAACGCAGAAGUCAUUUUGACGACCACAUGAGAAUACACACUGGAGAGCGUCCAUACACAUGUACUCAGUGUGGAAAGAGUUUUAAACAGAAAACAAGUCUUGAGAUGCACAUGAGAAUUCACACUGGAGAGCGCCCAUACACGUGUCCUCAGUGUGAAAAGGGUUUCAAACACAAAAAUCAUCUUGAGGACCACAUAAGAAUUCACACUGGAGAGCGCCCAUACACAUGUCCUCAGUGUAAAAAGAGUUUCACACAGAAAAAUCAUCUUAAGGUGCACGUGAAAAUUCACACUGGAGAACCAACACAUUCUUACCAGAGUUCGUGACAUUGUCACCAACUAUAAUCCAUCAAUUCAUGUUAAUGGACACAAAUAUCUGUUUCGUGUCAGUCAGCGCAACUUUCAGUCCAUCGUAUUUUAAUGCGUUGUAUCUUUAAUUUGUAUAAAUAUUUAUCAAUAGAAUAGGAAUUUCUACCUAUUUUACUAUUCUGCUUGUAAAAAUGCGAAGAUAUCAAGAAAAAGUUUUUUACAGUCAAA